GUCUAAAAGCACGAAAGAAAUGGUGCCUGCACACAGGCACUUCCCCUCAAAAGAAGCAGUCUGCAGAGCAGGGGCAGACAAAGGGACAAUUCGGAACAAACAAGCUCUCUAUAAACAGAUACUCGCCAAUUAAACGAUAAGAUAGUGAAUGGGUCUCCUUUAACAGAAAAAUACUAAAAGUCCUGUGCUUGGCAGAUUCAAUGAAUCAGCGAAUUGUUUCUGCAACCAUCUGAGGAAUCUGGGUGUGACGGUGAAAAAAUGUCCACUUCACAGUUGUGGAAGCAGAGGCUUGCAAAAGCCCAGAUAACAGAAGUCUAACCAGUCAGCCGAACGCCCGUGGUUCCAUCCGGCAAUCUUCUUUCAAACCAGGUAUCAACAUGAAGUUGUUGUAGUUUUUGUGAAAUAAUCUCGCAGCAUCGUUUCUACAUUUACAAAGGAACUGAGGACAACAGUCACAUUAUUGUUUGGAUGUGAAAUGCUCCCCCAACCCCAUCUCUGCUCACGGUUUUUUGAACUUUUGGUCCCCAGAUGGUGGCGCUGUACCGGGAGGUUGUGACACCGGAAGAUAAGCCCUCUCGGUCUCUGUUCUUGGAAAGGUUAUACAGAGGCAUGUAUUGCUGUUGACCCUUCUAUACACUUCCACACAUGCACAUGCUCAUGUGCACACUACAUAUAGUUCUCUAACAGAUCAGCAGUUCGGCAUGGAGGUGAUUGUACUGGGGAAGAGGAAGCAAACAAUUGGCUGUGAAGAGCGAGAGCCGUGCCCUGGUCCAGCCAGUGUCUGCUGAGUGUCAUCACUCUUGCUUGCUCAUCGCCCAGAGUCUGGUUUCUCAUCAUUUAAUUCUGCAAUAAUGAUUAUGUAACAAGGAACAGUUACUCUGUUUACCG
rnacentral:lncRNA from 1 species